GCCAGCAGCCACGCCACCUGCAGUUCAGACUAGGUAAUCCUCCUAAAGCAGGUUUGGGCCUGGCCAAUACUUGGAUGGGAGACCAACUAAGAAAGCUGGGUUUCUGCUGGAA
rnacentral:rRNA from 1 species